rnacentral:rRNA from 1 species
AGUGAACGCUGGCGGUAGGCCUAACACAUGCAAGUCGAACGGCAGCACAGUGCUUGCUUGUUCUUACAGGUGCCGACUGGCGGGUGAGUGCUGAAUACCUCGGAGUCUACUUUUUCGUAGGGCCUGACAUAGGGACACUUACGCUAUUACCGCAUACGACCUACGGGUGAAAGCUUGGGAUCUUCGGACCUUGCGCGAUUCAAUGUGCCGAUGUCGGAUUAGCUAGUUGGGGGGGUAAAGGCCUACCAAGGCGACGAUCCGUAGCUGGUCUGAGAGGAUGAUCAGUCACACUGGAACGGAGACACGGUCCAGACUCCUACGGGAGGCAGCAGUGGGGAAUAUUGGACAAUGGGCGAAAGCCUGAUCCAGCCAUACCGCGUGUGUGAAGAAGGCCUUCGGGUUGUAAAGCACUUUUGGUGGGAAAGAAAAGCAGUAAGUUAAUACCCCGCUGUUCUGACGGUACCAAAAGAAUAAGCACCGGCUAACUUCGUG